GACAGAGGGUGCAAACGUUGUUCGGAAUUACUGGGCGUAAAGCGCGUGUAGGCUGUUCGGAAAGUCGGGUGUGAAAGCCCUGGGCUUAACCCAGGAAGUGCAUUCGAAACUCCCGAACUCGAGUCCUGGAGAGGAAGGCGGAAUUCUCGGUGUAGAGGUGAAAUUCGUAGAUAUCGAGAGGAACAUCGGUGGUGAAGGCGGCCUUCUGGACAGUGACUGACGCUGAGACGCGAAAGCGUGGGGAGCAAACAGG
rnacentral:rRNA from 1 species